UACGUAGGGUGCGAGCGUUGUCCGGAAUUAUUGGGCGUAAAGAGCUCGUAGGCGGUUUGUCGCGUCUGCUGUGAAAACCCGAGGCUCAACCUCGGGCCUGCAGUGGGUACGGGCAAACUAGAGUGCGGUAGGGGAGAUUGGAAUUCCUGGUGUAGCGGUGGAAUGCGCAGAGUAUCAGGAGGAACACCGAUGGCGAAGGCAGGUCUCUGGGCCACUACUGACGCUGAGAAGCGAAAGCAUGGGGAGCGAACAGG
rnacentral:rRNA from 1 species